GCUGAAACAAUUUCCAGUCAGUUCCUCUCACAGCAAAAGAGGGAAACAAACAUGGCAAUUUGGCUUCAAUUUGUUUUUGUUUCAGCAGUUUUGGGAGGUGUCCAAUCAGCAGUCCAGCUGGUAGAGUCUGGAGGGGAUGUCAAAAGGCCUGGGGAGUCCCUCCGCCUCUCCUGUCGAGCUUCUGGAUUCACCUUCAGCGACUACUGGAUGAGCUGGGUGCGACAGGCUCCUGGGAAGGGACUGGAAUGGGUUGCAAGGAUAAGCAGUGGUGCAGGCAGCUCACAAUAUUAUGCGGACUCAGUGAAAGGGCGCUUCACCAUCUCCAGAGACAACCCUUCAAACAUGCUGUAUCUGCAAAUGAACAACCUGAAACCUGAGGACACUGCUGUUUAUUACUGUGCAAGAGACACAGUGAAAGGAAUUGAAUCUGCAGCCAGACAAAAACCUUCCUUUGCCAGCUGUCUGCACUGGUUCAGCUGCAACCACAAAGAACUAAAUGAAGAAGUUUGGAGAAGGAAGAUAAAUUGA